rnacentral:lncRNA from 1 species
AUAUGCUGUAUUGUUUAAUGUAAUGUAUAAUACAGCCUAAUUUAUAUUUAGUCAUUAUACGUAAAUGUAUUAUUUCAUAUCAAGUAGGCCAUUAUCGCUUGUUCUUCCGGAGUUUUUUCAUCCUCUUUUAUAAUUAUGGGAAGUCUGCCAUCUAGUGGUUGAAAGGUAGAAAGAUUGUUGAGUUGCUUCGUUAAUUAUGUCCGCUUUUAGAACUUUGAAUUCCUUCUGGUUUCAGUGUGAUUAUUUAGUGUGUACUACAUUGGGCAUUUAUAAGUAAAUUAAUAGUUGUAUUAAUUUGUUUUAUAGCUUGUGAUUCACUGAUGGUUUUCGAGUUGCAUUGUGGGACCUUGUGUCUACACCGUCAUCUUAUGGUGAUAGAGAUGCGGCGAUACGGCUGUGGAAAUGAGGGAGAAAGAGAGCCAUCUUCUGCCUUUAUUGCCGUGCCAUUCCGGCUUCUCCACACAUGGAAGUGAAGCUGUUCUUCCGUGGCCAUUUCUCUGACUCGGCAGAGCUGACCAUUGUCAUUUCCCAGCCUGCGUCCGAGGGGCCAUGAAAAGCCUGUGAGGUCCGGGUAAUAACCUUCAGAAAGGCUGUGAUUGCACUUCCAUUCUCCGCUGAGACCCGGGGCCAUAACCAUCAAGACAGGUGAGCGAAUGGCGAUGGAGACAGGGUUUGUUCCAAGAGGGCCGAUUAAAGAAUAUAGCCGAGGGGUUUAUGUGUACGUGUGAAUGUUUGUGAGGUCUUAGCUCUAUUUAGACCCCCGAAGCCAUUAGUGACAGUUUCUCCGGGCCUGG